rnacentral:lncRNA from 1 species
AAUUGUGGAAAGGAAACAAGACUGACAGUUUGUGGGGGAAGGGCCCAACUGGGAGUGGCAGUUGGGUCUUGUGACUAGUACUUCCUUCCUGCCGGGUGUGGCAGUUGUGUCUUGUGACUAGCACUUCCUUCCUGCCGUGUGGACUUGCUGCCUGGUGUUGGAGGAGAGAGGAGCUUGUUCAGUCUGUCUGGAGUGGCAUGCUCUUCUUGGUUCAGCCCGAAGAUUCAGGCCCAUUCAUCUCUGAAGUAGGUCCUUGGGGAAAAAAACCUGAUGGGUGACAAAAAAUUGCAGUAUUAUGACAGAGGUUGCUGGUCAAUUGUUUCCCCAUCUCUCCUAAGACCAAACUGGUCCAGAUUUAGCAAGAAGAUCAGGCAGCUAAGUGGUAGACUUCAGUUAUGCCUGAAAUCAGGAAGAAUCAUCUUCCUGAGUUAAAAUCUGGCCUCAAACUCUGACUAGCUGUGACCCUGGACAGGUCACUGCACUCUGUUUGCCUCAAUUUUUUCAUCUACAAAAUGAUCUGGAGAAGGAAAUGACAAAUCAUUCGAGUACCUCUGAGAAGAAAACCCCAAAUGAGGUCAAGAAGAGUCGACCAAGACUGAAAAGUAACUGAAUACCAACAAGCAAGAAAAUCAAGGAGGGCUGAGAAACCUUGUUUAAUAUGUCCAAGAAGAUAAUAAAAAAUGAAAGAACUGCUGUACUUUCUAUAGU